UAGUAUUCAAUUGUCAGAGGUGAAANNCUUGGAUUUAUUGAAGACUAACUACUGCGAAAGCAUUUGCCAAGGAUGCUUUCAUUAAUCAAGAACGAAAGUUAGGGGAUCGAAGACGAUCAGAUACCGUCGUAGUCUUAACCAUAAACUAUGCCGACUAGGGAUCGGAUGAUGUUAAUUUUUUAAUGACUCA
rnacentral:rRNA from 1 species